rnacentral:rRNA from 1 species
GACGAACGCUGGCGGCGUGCUUAACACAUGCAAGUCGAACGGAAAGGCCCUGCUUUUGUGGGGUGCUCGAGUGGCGAACGGGUGAGUAACACGUGAGUAACCUGCCCUUGACUUUGGGAUAACUUCAGGAAACUGGGGCUAAUACCGGAUAGGAGCUCCUGCUGCAUGGUGGGGGUUGGAAAGUUUCGGCGGUUGGGGAUGGACUCGCGGCUUAUCAGCUUGUUGGUGGGGUAGUGGCUUACCAAGGCUUUGACGGGUAGCCGGCCUGAGAGGGUGACCGGCCACAUUGGGACUGAGAUACGGCCCAGACUCCUACGGGAGGCAGCAGUGGGGAAUAUUGCACAAUGGGCGGAAGCCUGAUGCAGCAACGCCGCGUGCGGGAUGACGGCCUUCGGGUUGUAAACCGCUUUCGCCUGUGACGAAGCGUGAGUGACGGUAAUGGGUAAAGAAGCACCGGCUAACUACGUGCCAGCAGCCGCGGUGAUACGUAGGGUGCGAGCGUUGUCCGGAUUUAUUGGGCGUAAAGGGCUCGUAGGUGGUCGAUCGCGUCGGAAGUGUAAUCUUGGGGCUUAACCCUGAGCGUGCUUUCGAUACGGGUUGACUUGAGGAAGGUAGGGGAGAAUGGAAUUCCUGGUGGAGCGGUGGAAUGCGCAGAUAUCAGGAGGAACACCAGUGGCGAAGGCGGUUCUCUGGGCCUUUCCUGACGCUGAGGAGCGAAAGCGUGGGGAGCGAACAGGCUUAGAUACCCUGGUAGUCCACGCUGUAAACGGUGGGUACUAGGUGUGGGGUCCAUUCCACGGGUUCCGUGCCGUAGCUAACGCUUUAAGUACCCCGCCUGGGGAGUACGGCCGCAAGGCUAAAACUCAAAGGAAUUGACGGGGCCCCGCACAAGCGGCGGAGCAUGCGGAUUAAUUCGAUGCAACGCGUAGAACCUUACCUGGGUUUGACAUGGAUCGGGAGUGCUCAGAGAUGGGUGUGCCUCUUUUGGGGUCGGUUCACAGGUGGUGCAUGGCUGUCGUCAGCUCGUGUCGUGAGAUGUUGGGUUAAGUCCCGCAACGAGCGCAACCCUUGUUCACUGUUGCCAGCACGUUAUGGUGGGGACUCAGUGGAGACCGCCGGGGUCAACUCGGAGGAAGGUGGGGAUGACGUCAAGUCACCAUGCCCCUUAUGUCCAGGGCUUCACGCAUGCUACAAUGGCUGGUACAGAGAGUGGCGAGCCUGUGAGGGUGAGCGAAUCUCGGAAAGCCGGUCUCAGUUCGGAUUGGGGUCUGCAACUCGACCUCAUGAAGUCGGAGUCGCUAGUAAUCGCAGAUCAGCAACGCUGCGGUGAAUACGUUCCCGGGACU